AGUGAACGCUGGCGGUAGGCCUAACACAUGCAAGUCGAACGGCAGCACAGUAAGAGCUUGCUCUUACGGGUGGCGAGUGGCGGACGGGUGAGGAAUACAUCGGAAUCUACUUUUUCGUGGGGGAUAACGUAGGGAAACUUACGCUAAUACCGCAUACGACCUACGGGUGAAAGCAGGGGAUCUUCGGACCUUGCGCGAAUGAAUGAGCCGAUGUCGGAUUAGCUAGUUGGCGGGGUAAAGGCCCACCAAGGCGACGAUCCGUAGCUGGUCUGAGAGGAUGAUCAGCCACACGGGAACGGAGACACGGUCCAUACUCCUACGGGAGGCAGCAGUGGGGAAUAUUGGACAAUGGGCGCAAGUCUGAUCCAGCGAUACCGCGUGGGUGAAGAAGGCCUUCGGGUUGUAAAGCCCUUUUGUUGGGAAAGAAAAGCAGCAGGUUAAGACCCCGCUGUUCUGACGGUACCCAAAGAAGAAGCACCGGCUAACUUCGUG
rnacentral:rRNA from 1 species